GACGAACGCUGGCGGCGUGCUUAACACAUGCAAGUCGAACGGAAAGGCCCUGCUUUUGUGGGGUGCUCGAGUGGCGAACGGGUGAGUAACACGUGAGUAACCUGCCCUUGACUUUGGGAUAACUUCAGGAAACUGGGGCUAAUACCGGAUAGGAGCUCCUGCUGCAUGGUGGGGGUUGGAAAGUUUCGUCGGUUGGGGAUGGACGCGGGGCUUAUCAGCUUGUUGGGGGGGUAGUGGCUUACCAAGGGAUUGAAGGGUAGCCGGCAUGGGAGGGGGACCGGCCACAUUGGGACUGCGAUACGGACCAGACGCCUACGGGGGGCAGCAGGGGGGAAUAUGGCACAGUGGGGGGAAGCCUGAGGCAGCAACGCCGCGUGCGGGAUGACGGCCUUCGGGUUGUAAACCGCUUUCGCCUGUGACGAAGCGUGAGUGACGGUAAUGGGUAAAGAAGCACCGGCUAACUACGUG
rnacentral:rRNA from 1 species